CAGCAGCCGCGGUAACACGAGGGGGGCAAGCGUUGUUCGGAAUUAUUGGGCGUAAAGGGUGCGUAGGCGGCUUGACAAGUCUUGUGUGAAAUCUAUGGGCUCAACCCAUAGUCUGCACGGGAAACUGUCGGGCUUGAGAAUGGGAGAGGUGAGUGGAAUUUCCGGUGUAGCGGUGAAAUGCGUAGAUAUCGGAAUGAACACCUGUGGCGAAAGCGGCUCACUGGACCAUUUCUGACGCUGAUGCACGAAAGCUAGGGGAGCAAACAGGAUUAGAUACCCCCGUAGUCCCUGUCUCUUAUAC
rnacentral:rRNA from 1 species